GCCACCCCACACCCCAAUUAAGUGACGUCUCAUUCUCUCUCAUGUUCUUAUGUCUUGUGUUCUUAUCUCCCUGUACUUACUUAUCUACCCAAAAGAUCACCAACAGGGGGCGAUGGUGUAGCAUGAAAGUAAAAAAGCAUCGCCGGAGAAGAUAUCAUGUGGGGAAAUCAGAAUCUCAACCAGAUCAAGCAUCAUUGGUUUGUGACCCGGUUCCAAUCUGCACCAUUGGAUCGGUGCUUCAGUCGUGAAGAACAUUGGAGAGGAACUAGACCACCGACAACCAUAAUGAAGCAAUGAUUGUAUCUAGACUUCUCCAUAUCUCUCUCUCUCUCUCUCUCUCUCUCACUAUGGCACCAUUGUUGCUUAACAAGAUCGAUUUGCAGGUGAAACAUUGGGCCACCAAUUCACCAUCGCAACCCACCAAGCUCGACUUGUGAUGGAAGUGACCGGAUGAAGAGGGUGUGGAAGAGAUCAGGACGGGAAAAGAAUGUUGUUGAGGAGAUCUGGACUGAUUUGGAGGUCGAGAAGUUUUCUAGGUAUGCAUUCAUAGGUUCUACAUUCGACGGUGUAGGCCAACGAUCGGGUGGGCGGUGGUGGUGCAGGAGCUACUGGGUGGUCGAGAUCCCGAUUAGAUGAGUGUGUAAAAAGAAUCAGGCAGAAGCUCACCUGGUCACACACCGAAGAAAUAAAAAUGGUCAUCGGAGAUAUGAAACAGGAGCAUGGGUACCAGUGAUGACCGCGGGAAGACGCCGGCUUGAUUCGUACACACACAUGAGAUUUUAUGUAUUUUGAUCUUGGGAGAUAUUUUGUGAAACAAAGACAUGAUACUAUGACAUUUUAUGAAUGAAUGAGUUUGUAAAAAAUGUGUUUGAAAAUGCGAAAAAUUGUUUUAA